rnacentral:rRNA from 1 species
ACGUAGGGUCCAAGCGUUAUCCGGAAUUACUGGGCGUAAAGAGUUGCGUAGGUGGCAUGUAAAGCGAACAGUGAAAGCUCACGGCUCAACCGUGAACACAUUGUUCGAACUCACAAGCUAGAGCAUAGUAGAGGUAGCUGGAAUUGCUGGUGUAGGAGUGAAAUCCGUAGAUAUCAGCAGGAACACCGAUGGCGUAGGCAGGCUACUGGGCUAUUGCUGACACUAAGACACGAAAGCGUGGGGAGCGAACGGGA